rnacentral:lncRNA from 1 species
AUGCCUCUUUUCAAAAACAACAGUUUCCAAUAAAAGUAAAGUCGGAAAUCUUUUCGGAAAGAAGAACCGUUCAAUUCUCAAAAACUCAAAAGCCUUUCAAAACGGUUUAUCUAUGCGGAACCAAAAUAGCCUUUCAUAAUUUUUUUUCCAAACCAGAAACACAAAACCGAAAUCAACCAUCAGUUCAUCUCUUUCCAACCACGGCCCUAGGCCCAAACAAUCCAACCAACAACCAAUCACCACAAUCCAACAGAGUUUCAGAUGCAAACACAAAUAGGAAGAUGCAGGCACAAACAAACAGUUAUUGCAAGUAGGACAAUUAGCAAUUAAUCACAAAGGCAAGCCAAGUACAAUAUGCACACCCAAGCAAUGUCACAUAGAUGCAUAUGAUGAAUGCCUGUCCCUAGUGGCUGAUGAUAUCAUCUGUCGGUUAUAGA